UACGAAGGGUGCAAACGUUGCUCGGAAUCAUUGGGCGUAAAGCGCACGUAGGCGGCUUGCCAAGUCGGACGUGAAAUCCCUCAGCUCAACUGAGGACGUGCAUCCGAAACUGGCGAGCUUGAGUACUGAAGAGGAUCGCGGAAUUCCCGGUGUAGAGGUGAAAUUCGUAGAUAUCGGGAGGAACACCAGUGGCGAAGGCGGCGAUCUGGGCAGAUACUGACGCUGAGGUGCGAAAAGCGUGGGGAGCAAACAGG
rnacentral:rRNA from 1 species